GACGAACGCUGGCGGCGUGCUUAACACAUGCAAGUCGAACGGUAAGGCCCUUCGGGGUACACGAGUGGCGAACGGGUGAGUAACACGUGGGUGAUCUGCCCUGCACUUCGGGAUAAGUCUGGGAAACUGGGUCUAAUACCGGAUAGGACCACUGCCUGCAUGGGUGGUGGUGGACAGCUUUUGCGGUGUGGGAUGGGCCCGCGGCCUAUCAGCUGGUUGGUGGGGUGAUGGCCUACCAAGGCGACGACGGGUAGCCGGCCUGAGAGGGUGACCGGCCACACUGGGACUGAGAUACGGCCCAGACUCCUACGGGAGGCAGCAGUGGGGAAUAUUGCACAAUGGGCGCAAGCCUGAUGCAGCGACGCCGCGUGAGGGAUGACGGCCUUCGGGUUGUAAACCUCUUUCAGCACCGACGAAGCGCAAGUGACGGUAGGUGCAGAAGAAGGACCGGCCAACUACGUGCCAGCCGCCGCCGUAA
rnacentral:rRNA from 1 species